rnacentral:rRNA from 1 species
AUGAGCCUCCUCCUCCCCACGAGAUCCCUUCUGCUCGAGUCACCGAGGAGCACCUUCCCCUCCCCGUCCCCAAAGGCAGCUCCCGCACUCAACCCUAACCCUAGACCGCCCGCCCGCCCACCCCCACUGCCUCGAGGCUUGAGCCCGCCCGCGCUGAUGGAGCCCAAGCAGCCGGCGGCCAACCUCGCCGCCGCCGCCGCCGCCGAGCCGGAGGAGGACGAGGCGGACGAGGAGAUGGAGGACGCGCUGCUGGACCGCGCGCAUGCCCUCAUCUCCCGCGCCGUCGAGCAGGAGGCCAACCCCAACCCGCCGCACGGCGACUCCUCGCGCUCCAGCCGCCGCGUCCCUCAACGUCAGGGCAACAUGACCAUCGCAGCCAAGGCUGGAGUCACGUUGGAAAUCCCAAACGGGGCUGUGCUCGAGAACAAGAGGCUCACAGUUAAACAAGAAGGCCAGGCUCCAGCCAGUGAUGUUGAGGCUGCCUAUACAACACAGACCCAUGCCACUUACAAUCACGGAGUGUAG